CAACGCUGCACUACCAGCCAGAUUGGAGUAGUGUGUUUCCAGGAGAGAGCCUGAACUGGCAGAUCCUCAGCUGCUACAAAUCAAUUAAGUUCCCUUGAUUCCAGCACAGAGGGCCACCAACUUACAGCUACAGAAGGCAGCUGAAACUGUACCUUUCCCUGAGACCAUCACAUCAGGGUUUGCUUGGGUGUCCUGUGGUCAGCAGAGAAUGCCGAGAAGAGAAACCUGCUCUCUGACCAUGCAGACCCUGGGCAAGCCCUGACAACUUUUGCUGUGUC